rnacentral:rRNA from 1 species
AGUAACGCGUGGGCAACCUGCCUUAUACAGGGGAUAACAGCUGGAAACAGCUGCUAAUACCGCAUAAGCGCACAGCGGCGCAUGACGCAGUGUGAAAAACUGAGGUGGUAUAAGAUGGGCCCGCGUCUGAUUAGCUGGUUGGGAGGGUAACGGCCUACCAAGGCGACGAUCAGUAGCCGGCCUGAGAGGGCGGACGGCCACAUUGGGACUGAGACACGGCCCAGACUCCUACGGGAGGCAGCAG